rnacentral:rRNA from 1 species
UACGUAGGGGGCAAGCGUUGUCCGGAUUUAUUGGGCGUAAAGCGCGUGUAGGCGGCAUGGCAAGUCGGGUGUGAAAGCCCUCAGCUUAACUGAGGAAGUGCGCCCGAAACUGCUGUGCUUGAGUACCGGAGAGGAUGGCGGAAUGCCCCAAGUAGAGGUGAAAUUCGUAGAUAUGGGGCGGAACACCGGUGGCGAAGGCGGCCAUCUGGACGGAUACUGACGCUGAGACGCGAAAGCGUGGGUAGCAAACAGG